GUCACAAGGAAGGAAAAAACCGAAAAUCUUCUCUCUCUCUCUCUCUCAAGAUGCAUCACAUCAAAAUUGGUAGUAUUGAUAACGGCUUGAGUCUCGAGGUGGAUGGGUCUUACACAUUUGGGACAAUUGUGGCCAACAUCUUAGAAAAGGAGAAAACAUUGACCUCCAACGCAAAGCAGCAGCCACCACAACAGCCAAAACACACAAAGCAACAACCAUUGCCGCAAAAGAUCGACCUGCUGAUGCCCUGAUGUGAUGAAAGAUUAACUGAUGGC